GACGUAGGGUGCAAGCGUUGUCCGGAAUUAUUGGGCGUAAAGAGCUCGUAGGCGGUUUGUCGCGUCUGCUGUGAAAACUCGGGGCUUAACCCCGGGCCUGCAGUGGGUACGGGCAGACUAGAGUGCGGUAGGGGAGACUGGAAUUCCUGGUGUAGCGGUGAAAUGCGUAGAUAUCGAGAGGAACACCAGUGGCGAAGGCGAGUCCCUGGACAACACCUGACACUGAGGCACGAAAGCUAGGGGAGCAAACAGG
rnacentral:rRNA from 1 species